AUUGAACGCUGGCGGCAUGCCUUACACAUGCAAGUCGAACGGCAGCAUGAUCUAGCUUGCUAGAUUGAUGGCGAGUGGCGAACGGGUGAGUAAUACAUCGGAACGUGCCCUGUAGUGGGGGAUAACUAGUCGAAAGAUUAGCUAAUACCGCAUACGACCUGAGGGUGAAAGUGGGGGACCGCAAGGCCUCAUGCUAUAGGAGCGGCCGAUGUCUGAUUAGCUAGUUGGUGAGGUAAAGGCUCACCAAGGCGACGAUCAGUAGCUGGUCUGAGAGGACGAUCAGCCACACUGGGACUGAGACACGGCCCAGACUCCUACGGGAGGCAGCAGUGGGGAAUUUUGGACAAUGGGCGAAAGCCUGAUCCAGCAAUGCCGCGUGUGUGAAGAAGGCCUUCGGGUUGUAAAGCACUUUUGUCCGGAAAGAAAUGGCUCUGGUUAAUACCUGGGGUCGAUGACGGUACCGGAAGAAUGAGGACCGGCUAACUACGUG
rnacentral:rRNA from 1 species